ensembl:lncRNA
GUGGAAAGCCAGUAAGUGGAGCUGAAUUCAGCGGGACAGUAAUUAUUUCUCGCUGCUGGUAUUUGACACCUGCCAGGGAAUGUCUGUAAAAACCCUACAGCUAGCAGAACAGAACAACACAACAUAGAGAGAUAGAGUCUCGGUGCUUAGGGAUUGAUUGAUAACUGUACUUACUCUACUUGGCCUUUUACCCCCAGGCACUGAAAAGAACAAUGAGACACUUCUUCACAGUGUUUUGUCAUCUCACAAAUCCCAGCGGUUCAAUUCAAUCACACCUAUUGUUCUCUGACGGGUCCUGCUGAGGAUGUAAUAUUCCCAGCCAACAUGGCACUUUUGCCUCAUAAAGAUGUGUAAGGCAACAUUUCUCAAAACCACAAUUUGGAUAAGGUUCUACAUACAGGGAUGAGGCAGCAC